UGGGGAUGACGUCAAAUCAUCAUGCCCCUUAUGACCUGGGCUACACACGUGCUACAAUGGACAGAACAAAGGGCAGCGAAACCGCGAGGUUAAGCCAAUCCCACAAAUCUGUUCUCAGUUCGGAUCGCAGUCUGCAACUCGACUGCGUGAAGCUGGAAUCGCUAGUAAUCGCGGAUCAGCAUGCCGCGGUGAAUACGUUCCCGGGCCUUGUACACACCGCCCGUCACACCACGAGAGUUUGUAACACCCGAAGUCGGUGAGGUAACCUUUUAGGAGCCAGCCGCCGAAGGUGGGACAGAUGAUUGGGGUGAAGUCGACAAGGGGGGCCAACAACAAGGGCCCCUCGCCCCUCCUG
rnacentral:rRNA from 1 species